GAGAGUUAAACAGUACGUGAAAUUGUUGAAAGGGAAACGAUUGAAGCCAGUCGUACCUUCGGGUAAUCAGCCUUUCGGGUGCGAUUAUGUGGAGUGUGAGGAGCUUAAACACCUUCAUGUUUUGCAUAUUCGUACUCUUGGGUGUACUUGCCCGUGUGGUUGGUUAACAUCAAUUUUGGUGGUCAUAAAAUGACUGGAGGAAUGUAGCUUUGGUCUCGUAUCGAAGUGUUAUAGACUCUGGUAGAUGUGACGAUUGGGAUUGAGGAUUGCAACGGAUACCCUUCGGGGCUACCUGUCUGAUCUCUGAUCGUUGCUUUGGUGCCGAAAGCUUGCUUACGGUUAUCAAAGUCGAUGGUCAAUAGGUUAGAACGGGUUAAAUUCGUUAAGGAUGUUGACGUAAUGGCUUUAAACGA
rnacentral:rRNA from 1 species